rnacentral:tRNA from 1 species
GGGCCGGUGGCAUGAGUGGUUGAUGGCACCGGACUGUAAAUCCGGCUCCGAAAGGACGCGCUGGUUCGAAUCCAGCCCGACCCACCA